GACGAACGCUGGCGGCGUGCUUAACACAUGCAAGUCGAACGGAAAGGCCCUGCUUUUGUGGGGUGCUCGAGUGGCGAACGGGUGAGUAACACGUGAGUAACCUGCCCUUGACUUUGGGAUAACUUCAGGAAACUGGGGCUAAUACCGGAUAGGAGCUCCUGCUGCAUGGUGGGGGUUGGAAAGUUUCGGCGGUUGGGGAUGGACUCGCGGCUUAUCAGCUUGUUGGUGGGGUAGUGGCUUACCAAGGCUUUGACGGGUAGCCGGCCUGAGAGGGUGACCGGCCAAAUUGGGGCUGGGGAUAGGGCCAGAAUCCUACCGGGGGCAACAGUGGGGAAAUUUUCAAAAAGGGGCGGAGGCCGAUGCAACAACGGCGGGUUGGGGAUAGGCGGCUUUCGGUUUGUAAACCGCUUUCGCCUGGGCCGAGCGUGAGUGACGGUAAUGGGUAAAGAAGCACCGGCUAACUACGUG
rnacentral:rRNA from 1 species